rnacentral:tRNA from 1 species
UAGGACAGGGUGUAUUGGUAGCACGGAGAAUUUUGAAUUCUUAGGUGUA